GGAGAACGACCAGGAGGGCAAGAACAAGAAAACCCUUGUUUUCUGAAAUCCACAAAAAUUAGAAGGAAAUUUGAAGCCAAAUCAAAUACAUGAACUCAAAUUCUAACCAUCUAAACUUGUUCAUCAUAGUGUAUUGGGAUCAUGUCGAGAUGGACUCAAGCGCGAAAGGCUAACGGGUCAAGAAGAGGCAAGGAAGCGGAUACAAACACGGACGCAUAAGGUUGUACAGACUUACGGAUUAUGGUCAUCACGAGACAUAAACGAUUGAAGAUCGAGUCAUAACACGGAUUGUACGGGAAUGUGUGGUCUUGUAGAUAGUAAAUAUAUGAUAUGUGUUAUGUAUUAAAUGAAACGAAAAUGUAAUUGUCGUUAAAGACUCACCAUAGAAAGGAAUUUCAAUUAUG